GAUGAACGCUAGCGGGAGGCUUAACACAUGCAAGUCGAGGGGCAGCAUAGGGUAGCAAUACUCUGAUGGCGACCGGCAAACGGGUGAGUAACGCGUAUGCAACCUACCCUGUACAGGGGGAUAACCCGGAGAAAUUCGGACUAAUAUCCCGUAAUAAUAUCCGGAGGCAUCUUUGGAUAUUUAAAGUUUCGACGGUACGGGAUGGGCAUGCGUAACAUUAGCUGGUUGGUAAGGUAACGGCUUACCAAGGCUAUGAUGUUUAGGGGUCCUGAGGGGGUGGUCCCCCACACUGGUACUGAGACACGGACCAGACUCCUACGGGAGGCAGCAGUGAGGAAUAUUGGUCAAUGGGCGCAAGCCUGAACCAGCCAUCCCGCGUGCAGGAAGACGGCCCUAUGGGUUGUAAACUGCUUUUCCAGGGAGAGAAACUUACGCACGUGUUGCGUGACUGACGGUACCCUGGGAAUAAGCAUCGGCUAACUCCGUG
rnacentral:rRNA from 1 species